rnacentral:lncRNA from 1 species
UGUAAGAUUUUCUCUUAAUCCUUGAUGAUCUGUCAGUAGCUAGAUUCCUGCCCUUGCAUCAAUAACUACUUCAUAAGACUCAUUCUUCACCUUCACUGACCUUCAACUCUACACUCUACCUCUGCCUCACCCUUGGUUCCCACUCUGCACUUCCUCCCAGGCAGUCUGCCACCUGGCUUCUCUAACUCCUGCCUUGAGCCAAAUCCCGACAGGACUUGUUACUUUCACUUGCUCUUUUUUCCUCCCAUUUUAGCAGCCAAGGAUGGGAAUUACACAGCGAAAUGCAGGCUAAUCAGCUAAAUCUAGAUUAAAUAUGCUAGUCCUUGGGGACCUUGAGCUGAAUUAAUGGAAACCGAGGUUUUUAAUGUUCCAGACUAAUUUUGGAAGCUCACUUCCAGCAGAGGCAAACUUGAGGCUGUCCAAAGGGAGCAGAUGGCAAGGCUUUCUCCAGGUGCACCAACCUUUGAAACAGCCCUCGGCAAAACCAUGAGGAAGGGAGGAGGCUCCAUGAUCUUACCUUCCCAAUUAUGAAGUAAGCAACGAUGACCUCUUAAACUCGUGAAUCUAACAGUGGUUGGGCAUAGAUAAUUGCUGUGAAAUACUUGAUGACUGAUUAGCUUUGAUAAAGAAUUCUGAGAUAAUUUUUAUGCUGUUGUUACUAAUCCCACCCUCAGCAUUCUUUCAAAAAUGAGAUUAUUUGUCUUUUUCUUCAUGGCCUUGGUGGAAA